GUAAACUAGACCUUCGAUUUCCCCUGUAAGGGUAUUAAGGCUGAAUUUGUCUACACAUCAAACAUGUACCUAGGAGGAAUAUUUGCUCUGUGCCAUCAGCAGUGUAGAAACUAGAAUAACCAGCUGCCGUAUUGUGAGCUGCAUUAUGAAGAGAACCAUGUGGCAAGACACUGAGGGAGAUCUCCAGCCAACAACAACUCAUAAGCAACUAAAUCUUGUGAUGAACCACUGGAGUCAUCUGGAAAGAGGAUCCUCUCACCUUCAAUCUUUGAAAUGGCUAGAGCUCUGAUGACAGUUGGAUUACAGCCUUAGGAGAAACAGAGAGCCGGGGAAAUUUGUGCCCAGGUUCCUUUCCCACAGACAUUGUCAGAUAAUAAAUAUCUCUGCG
rnacentral:lncRNA from 1 species